rnacentral:rRNA from 1 species
GACGAACGCUGGCGGCAUGCCUAACACAUGCAAGUCGAGCGAGCUGAUUCCUUCGGGAUGAAGCUAGCGGCGGACGGGUGAGUAACACGUGGGCAACCUGCCUCAUAGAGGGGAAUAGCCUUCCGAAAGGAAGAUUAAUACCGCAUAAGAUUGCAUCUUCGCAUGAAGAAGCAAUUAAAGGAGCAAUCCGCUAUGAGAUGGGCCCGCGGCGCAUUAGCUAGUUGGUGAGGUAACGGCCAACCAAGGCGACGAUGCGUAGCCAGCCUGAGAGGGUGAACGGCCACAUUGGGACUGAGACACGGCCCAGACUCCUACGGGAGGCAGCAGUGGGGAAUAUUGCACAAUGGAGGAAACCCUGAUGCAGCAAUGCCGCGUGAGUGAUGACGGCCUUCGGGUUGUAAAGCUCUGUCUUCGGGGACGAUAAUGACGGUACCCGAGGAGGAAGCCACGGCUAACUACGUGCCAGCCGCCGCUGUAG